rnacentral:misc_RNA from 1 species
GCAGUACAAGGUUUAUCUGUGGU